GUCAAUUACAAUUUUGUUUCAUCAAUAUGGGCCUGGCUCACACAAUCAUUCAAAUCUAGGUGUAGCGUAGGUUACCGAUAUGUGAGCCCACGCCAAGGUCCAAGAUGAAUCUGAGGUUCCUGCCUUGGCAUGGAUUCGCACAAUCACACUAAUUUCAGUAACCCACAUUAAACGUAGGUUUAAACAAUUGUGUGAGCCAGGCCUAACUUAACCAAUUAAUUGACAUGCUUCUUUACUCAGAAAAAAACCCUACAGUUCAGUCGAAUUUAUAAUGCGAUCCUGUGCAUUGCAGUCGUAGGAUAGGCCAUUUCUUGAAACUGAGGCGGGAGAAAGGGAAAACUGACGCACCUUCUCCUGAAAACCAAUUCACAGCAAAUGUCUCCAGGGAGAAAAGUCAGCCGGCUGUGUGGUGAAGCCAGCCCGACUGACUAUGUUAAAAUGUUCCCUGUCUGAGUGCAUGGAUUAUAUGGAGUUAAGGAACUAAUUAGUACAAGAUUUUGGAAUAAUUCCCAGUAGCUGGUUGGCAUGUCUGAGGCCUCUUCAGAUAGACUUGGCUGGCUCCAACCAUACAGGGCACAGUUUGCUCCAGGAGGAUGACACCAAAGCACAAAUCUCCCGCUGGAGCUGCAAAGGAGCCGCUGGCAUUCGCCAGUUGCUGCCUCGCUGCCCUCCAACACACAUUCCCCAGAUGCUCUUGGACAAGUCAGGGCCUGUCUGUCGGCACUCCAGAUUUAUUUAUCCGGGAAAUGUCCUGAGCUGAAUUGUGCUUAACCUUCAGAUAUCGCAUUUCAAACAUGGUCUCUUUUCUACAUGAACACAGUCUGAACAUACGGUGCUGCCUUGUUCUGAGUCAGAUUUAGUGCUGUCUGCCCGGCAGCAAGUCUCAGGCAGAGAUAUUUCCUGCCAUGUUGCAGAAGACCUUUUAAACUCAAGACUGAACCUGGGACCUUCAGCACGGACUCUGUCAUUGACCUAAAGAGGCUCCCUGAACAAGCUGAAUUCAAGCUGAAGUGGAUGUGUAGCUCCAAACUUGAGUAUAAAUCCAAGCUUACGCGAAUGUAUAAAUUCAAGCUUAAUUGAGUGUAAAUCCACUCCAGGCUUAAUCAGACGUCUGAAACAUCCUUGGAUUGGGUCACACCACAUUGGUCCAUCCAGCUCAGAACUGUCUGCUUUGACUGGCAGCAAAUUUCCAGCGUCUGAGGAACAGCAAGCCCUUUCUGAACUAACUGAAUUCCAAGGAAUUCUCAAAGGUAGCCCCAUGUGUAGUAUAAUGCAUUAUGGUAAUGUCUCUGCUAACUGGGCAGUGAGGUAACUUUUCAAGUGGUGGUUACCUUGUACGUAGCAGGGAGAAAGCAACUGCCCCUAUCCAGCCCCAAACAGCAUCCUCCCAGUGACUGUUGUUGCAGGUUUCUGCAGUGGCGGAUUAAUAGAGAGGCAGAGUAGGCGUUUGCCUCCAGCAGCAAAAUUUGAGGAGCGGCAAUUUGCCGCUCCUCAACAUUUGCUGCCCCUCUCUGGGGGCAGCUGUGGGGAGGGGGCGAGAGGAAAGUAAACCCCCCCCCAUUUACCUUCUAAUACUGCUGCCUGUGCAGCGGGAUGGGGUGACGGAGGCAGCGAGAGAGAGCCCCUUCCCAAGUGACUGAAUGGCCCUGUCUGCAGGCAGCCCGUUUGGGGCCUUUCUCCGUGUGUGCCACAGGGCCAUUCAGUCACUUGGGAAGGGGCUCGCUCUCCCUGCCGCUGGCCCCGUCACCCCAUCCCGCCGCGCUGUCCCCAGAGGGGGCGACAAAUCCUUACCUGCCGACGGGCAACAAAAAGCUUAAUCCGCCCCUGGGUUUCUGCCUCGUGCAACUUUCUUUUUACAUGGGGAGCUCUUCUGGAAGAGGGAACAAUCUUCAGGCCUUCUUGUAGCACACUGGUUUGGGAAUCACACCCCCCCACACACACACACACACCCCGCAGGGCAAAGAAGCGCCUUUCAAAGUGGUGGCUCUCUUAUGCUAAGCUGGGGAAAAGCAACUGUCCCUGUUCAACCCCAACACAGCACCCCUCUCAGCCGCUCCGCUUUGUGCUGCCCAUGAAGAGGAGGAGACCAUCCAGGAACGGGGUGUUUGUGUGUGUGUGUGAGACAGAACAUCCUGUUGUCUCAUGGUUGUUCUGAUUUAAUUGUAUUUUGAUUUUGUAGACCUUGAUUUUGUAAGUUGCCUUGGGCAUUUUCUGAAUGGAAAGGUGGCAUUAAAAAAUCUGCUGACAACAACA